rnacentral:rRNA from 1 species
UACAGAGGGUGCAACCGUUGUUCGGAAUUACUGGGCGUAAAGCGCGUGUAGGCGGUCUGUAAAGUCGGGUGUGAAAGCCCCGGGCUCAACCCGGGAAGUGCACUCGAAACUCACAGGCUAGAGUAUCGGAGAGGUUGGUGGAAUUCUCGGUGUAGAGGUGAAAUUCGUAGAUAUCGAGAGGAACACCGGUGGCGAAGGCGGCCAACUGGACGAAUACUGACGCUGAGACUCGAAAGCGUGGGGAGCAAACAGG